rnacentral:rRNA from 1 species
GUGGGGAAUUUUGGACAAUGGGCGCAAGCCUGAUCCAGCAAUGCCGCGUGCAGGAAGAAGGCCUUCGGGUUGUAAACUGCUUUUGUACGGAACGAAACGGUCCUGGUUAAUACCUGGGGCUAAUGACGGUACCGUAAGAAUAAGCACCGGCUAACUACGUGCCAGCAGCCGCGGUAAUACGUAGGGUGCAAGCGUUAAUCGGAAUUACUGGGCGUAAAGCGUGCGCAGGCGGUUUUGUAAGACAGGCGUGAAAUCCCCGGGCUCAACCUGGGAAUUGCGCUUGUGACUGCAAGGCUGGAGUGCGGCAGAGGGGGAUGGAAUUCCGCGUGUAGCAGUGAAAUGCGUAGAUAUGCGGAGGAACACCGAUGGCGAAGGCAAUCCCCUGGGCCUGCACUGACGCUCAUGCACGAAAGCGUGGGGAGCAAACAGGAUUAGAUACCCCAGUAGUCC